UCCCUUGUGGCUCAGCUGGUAAAGAAUCUGCCUGCCAAGCGGAAGACCUGGGUUCAAUCCCUGGGUUGGGAA
rnacentral:tRNA from 1 species